UACGUAGGGGGCAAGCGUUGUCCGGAUUUAUUGGGCGUAAAGCGCGCGUAGGCGGCCGCUUAAGUCGGAUGUGAAAGCCCCUGGCUCAACUGGGGAAGUGCACCCGAAACUGAGUGGCUUGAGUACUAAAGAGGGUCGCGGAAUUCCCGGUGUAGAGGUGAAAUUCGUAGAUAUUCGCAAGAACACCAGUGGCGAAGGCGGCUCACUGGCCCGGUACUGACGCUGAGGUGCGAAAGCGUGGGGAGCAAACAGG
rnacentral:rRNA from 1 species